rnacentral:rRNA from 1 species
UACGUAGGUCCCGAGCGUUGUCCGGAUUUAUUGGGCGUAAAGGGCUCGUAGGCGGUUCGUCGCGUCCGGUGUGAAAGUCCAUCGCUUAACGGUGGAUCCGCGCCGGGUACGGGCGGGCUUGAGUGCGGUAGGGGAGACUGGAAUUCCCGGUGUAACGGUGGAAUGUGUAGAUAUCGGGAAGAACACCAAUGGCGAAGGCAGGUCUCUGGGCCGUUACUGACGCUGAGGAGCGAAAGCGUGGGGAGCGAACAGG